rnacentral:rRNA from 1 species
AAUCAACGCUGGCGGCGUGCCUAACACAUGCAAGUCGAACGCGAGAGGGGCUUCGGCCCCGAUUGAGUGGCGAACGGGUGAGUAACGCGUGGGUGACCUACCUUCGAGUGGGGGAUAACGUCCCGAAAGGGACGCUAAUACCGCAUAACAUCCUGCUUUUGAAUGGGUGGAGAUCAAAGCCGGGGAUCGCAAGACCUGGCGCUUGAUGAGGGGCCCGCGUCUGAUUAGCUAGUUGGGAGGUAACGGCCCACCAAGGCAACGAUCAGUAUCCGGCCUGAGAGGGCGGACGGACACACUGGGACUGAGACACGGCCCAGACUCCUACGGGAGGCAGCAGUGGGGAAUUGUUCGCAAUGGGCGCAAGCCUGACGACGCAACGCCGCGUGGAGGAUGAAGGUCUUCGGAUUGUAAACUCCUGUUGCCCGGGACGAAUGGCUCCGACCUAACACGUCGGAGUGUGACGGUACCGGGUGAGGAAGCCCCGGCUAACUCUGUGCCAGCCGCCGCUGUAA